CAACAUGGAAGGAGAGAGAAAACAACAAGAGGAGAGAGAGGAGACGAAGAGCGAUCGCCGCUAAGAUCUACACCGGUCUUCGAGCUCAGGGGAACUACAAGCUUCCGAAGCACUGUGACAACAACGAGGUCCUGAAAGCUCUAUGCGCCGAAGCUGGUUGGAUCGUGGAAGAGGAUGGCACCACUUAUCGAAAGGUUCAGCUUCCCCUCAAUUUCUCAGAUCUACUACUUUCAGUGUUUGUUUUUGGUGUCCUGAUCUGAAUAAUUAUUGAUGUACAGGGAUGCAAGAGACCCAGCGCGAGUGAGAUUGGAGGAACAGUGGCAAACAUAAGCGCGUGUUCUUCGAUUCAGCCAAGUCCACAAUCCUCGUCAUACCCGAGUCCUGUACCAUCCUACCACGCUAGCCCAACCUCUUCCUCGUUCCCAAGCCCCACGCGCAUUGACGGAAACCACCCUUCUUCCUUUCUCAUCCCAUUCAUCCGCAACAUAACUUCCAUCCCCGCCAACCUCCCUCCUCUCAGGAUAUCCAACAGCGCCCCCGUCACCCCACCUCUCUCCUCUCCUCGUAGCUCUAAGCGCAAGGCUGAUUUCGACUCCCUCCAUAACGCCUCCCUCCGCCACCCUCUUUUUGCCACCUCCGCCCCUUCCAGCCCCUCUCGCCGCCACCACCUCGCCACCUCCACCAUCCCGGAGUGCGAUGAGUCCGACGCCUCCACCGUUGACUCCGCCUCUGGGCGCUGGGUUAGUUUUCAGGUUCAGACGACGAUGGCGGCCGCUCCUCC
rnacentral:lncRNA from 1 species